AAAUUGAAGAGUUUGAUCAUGGCUCAGAUUGAACGCUGGCGGCAGGCCUAACACAUGCAAGUCGAACGGUAGCACAGAGAGCUUGCUCUCGGGUGACGAGUGGCGGACGGGUGAGUAAUGUCUGGGAAACUGCCUGAUGGAGGGGGAUAACUACUGGAAACGGUGGCUAAUACCGCAUAACGUCGCGAGACCAAAGAGGGGGACCUUCGGGCCUCUUGCCAUCAGAUGUGCCCAGAUGGGAUUAGCUUGUUGGUGAGGUAACGGCUCACCAAGGCGACGAUCCCUAGCUGGUCUGAGAGGAUGACCAGCCACACUGGAACUGAGACACGGUCCAGACUCCUACGGGAGGCAGCAGUGGGGAAUAUUGCACAAUGGGCGCAAGCCUGAUGCAGCCAUGCCGCGUGUAUGAAGAAGGCCUUCGGGUUGUAAAGUACUUUCAGCGGGGAGGAAGGUGUUGUGGUUAAUAACC
rnacentral:rRNA from 1 species